GUGAGGAAUUUUCCGCAAUGGGCGAAAGCCUGACGGAGCAAUGCCGCGUGAAGGAUGAAGGCCUAUGGGUUGUAAACUUCUUUUCUCAGAAAAGAAUUAUGACGGUAUCUGAGGAAUAAGCAUCGGCUAACUCUGUGCCAGCAGCCGCGGUAAGACAGAGGAUGCAAGCGUUAUCCGGAAUGAUUGGGCGUAAAGCGUCUGUAGGUUGUUUAAAAAGUAUUCUGUCAAAGAUUAGGGCUUAACCCUAGAUAGGCAGAAUAAACUUUUAAGCUAGAGUUUGGUAGAGGCAGAGGGAAUUCCCGGUGGAGCGGUGAAAUGCGUAGGUAUCGGGAGGAACACCAAAGGCGAAGGCACUCUGCUGGGCCAAUACUAACACUGAGAGACGAAAGCGAGGGGAGCAAAUGGGAUUAGAUACCCUGGUAGUCC
rnacentral:rRNA from 1 species